rnacentral:misc_RNA from 1 species
GGCGUCGUUUGCCGGGAGUGCUGUCUGACGCUGUCCAGAAGGCAUAAGGGCACAUAAGCAGACGAUAAAAAAGAAGAUGGCGCCAUCCUCUUGUUGCGCCGUCGUCUGUUGCCGCUGGCGCUGCUUCCCCAUGCUUCUGCUAGCAACGUUUUUACUUAGCGCAGUAAAGGCGGACCGACCUACAAAGUCAACAGUCUACUACAUGGAUGACCUAUGCGGGUCGUCGCAUACGGCUGCCAUCACGGUGGGAGUGGCAGGCCUCGAGUCGGCGGUGGUGCUUCGUGCCACCAAGCACCACAUCGACCAUGGCUUCAACUGCACGGUGAACGUGACCACGAGGGUGGACCGGAGCCUGCUGUACAGCAUCUCGUUCCUGGACUUGCCCAUGACUUGUCUUUCCUACCUGGAGUUGUGGGCGGACCGCCGGGACGCGCAGCGCUUCUGCCGCAACGUGGACGACCCGCGUGGCAAGGAGGCCCACUGGGUGACCGCGCCGCAGCUGCUGGUCCAGCUGGUCACCUCGCGCCACGACUGGAACUACGAGCGCAAGGCCUUCGAGAUCGUGCUCACGUCGUACCGGCAGAGCCUGCACUUCGACGGCUGCUACAAGGGCGAAUACCAGUGCGGCAACAAAUUCUGCAUCUGGCGCGAACUCACUUGCAACAACGAGAACAACUGCGGUGACCUGAGUGACGAGAAUUGCAUGUCGAAGACCCUGGCAGUGGCCGUGACCGUCGCCGCUGGAAUCACGGUGGUUGUACUCAUCUUCACGUUAGUGGCCUACAUCAGGAAGCGUGCUCGAGGGGGACCACACGACUUGUCCCGCACCACGAGCUCCCAGUCGGUUCACAGCGCGGGAUCGGGCAUUUCCGGCGCCUACGACACCACCUACCGACCACUGGUGGGAAGGCACCUGCUCAUGGAGCCGCUCUUGGAGGUGCCCAGCGUGCAGGUCUCUGGCCUUCCCAGCAGGACGUCGUCCGAGGACAACGUGCCGAAAGAGGCCCAGGGUAGCGAGAAGCGACUGAGGCCCUGCAUUCGCUACGACCGGUCCGUGUCGGACCCGAUGUGAAAGACAGAAACGUGCUGCCCUGUCGACAAGAGUGUCUAGAUGGGCUGUUUGGUGGCAGAAAGACACGAUUGUGGAUGAUACGGUACGGUCCACUGUUAAAGAAAACACCUAGCUGGCAGUAGGACAGCAGUCUGGGCAAGUUGGCUUUCUUUCAGGACGAACGUACAAAGAGCGACAAAAUGACCAGAGCAAGAUGUAAACGACACAACCAGCGUUCACUGAGAACUGAAAAUAUUAUUGAAAACAUCGUGUCAUAUAAAGGUAUGUCAAACACGCCGGCUCGUAUCUAAGCCCCGUCACCCUUAGCGUAACGCUUGGAAGAACAAAAUAUGACUAUAAUAUGCGAAAAAAAUCGAUGCAGUGAAAGAUAAGCAGGACGAUGCCAUGAGCAAUUUCGGUGAUAUAGCAAAAGCAGCAGAUGAUGUCUAUAUACUGAACUGUACAUUAGCCCGGGCAGUCACGUACUCUUGAUUGCACACGUAGUUUGGAACGGCGUACAGAAGUUCGACGUGCAAGUAGCGAUAAAGUUAGAAAAUUCUUGCAAGUUAUAUCCAAUGGAAAACUGGUAGGAAAAAAUGGAAUAACAGUUGGUUAGACGAAGAGUAGAGGGGACAUUAUACUCGAAAAGAUUGCGACUGUUUAUUCGCAAUGCGGGAUCAGGGCAAUGCUUCACUCCACUUAAACCAGACAACAGGAUUGCUUUAGGAAGGGGUAUAUAACAAAGAAUCCUAUUCAUGUAAGCAAUCAUGUAAUCGAGAAAUAUGAGGCGCAUAACUAAGUUCUCUAUAUUGCUUUCAUAGAUUAGGAAAAGAUUCCAUUCAACAGAGAUACCAGAAGUCAUCGAGGGGUUACUCAGUCAACAAAUACCGGAGGUAUUCGUGAAUGCCUUAGCAUUUAUGUAUAAAGAUUCCACAACUUCCUUCAUGGUUCACAUAAAGAACGGGACAUUACUGAUUAAGAAGGAAUUCAAGCAAGC